rnacentral:rRNA from 1 species
AGUGAACGCUGGCGGUAGGCCUAACACACGCAAGUCGGACGGCAGCACAGUAAGAGCUUGCUCUUACGGGUGGCGAGUGGCGGACGGGUGAGGAAUACAUCGGAAUCUACUUUUUCGUGGGGGAUAACGUAGGGAAACUUACGCUAAUACCGCAUACGACCUACGGGUGAAAGCAGGGGAUCUUCGGACCUUGCGCGAUUGAAUGAGCCGAUGUCGGAUUAGCUAGUUGGCGAGGUAAAGGCCCACCAAGGCGACGAUCCGUAGCUGGUCUGAGAGGAUGAUCAGCCACACUGGAACUGAGACACGGUCCAGACUCCUACGGGAGGCAGCAGUGGGGAAUAUUGGACAAUGGGCGCAAGCCUGAUCCAGCCAUACCGCGUGGGUGAAGAAGGCCUUCGGGUUGUAAAGCCCUUUUGUUGGGAAAGAAAAGCAGCAGGUUAAUACCCCGCUGUUCUGACGGUACCCAAAGAAUAAGCACCGGCUAACUUCGUG